UACAGAGGUCUCAAGCGUUGUUCGGAUUCAUUGGGCGUAAAGGGCGCGUAGGCUGCGGGGCAAGUCGGGUGUGAAAUCUCAGAGCUCAACUCUGAAACUGCACUCGAUACUGCUUUGCUUGAGGACCGGAGAGGAGAUUGGAAUUCACGGUGUAGCAGUGAAAUGCGUAGAUAUCGUGAGGAAGACCAGUGGCGAAGGCGGAUCUCUGGACAGUUCCUGACGCUGAGGCGCGAAAGCGUGGGGAGCAAACGGG
rnacentral:rRNA from 1 species